rfam:TPA: Bos taurus chromosome 9, whole genome shotgun sequence.
UCCCUGCCAGUCUAGUGGUUAGAAUCCAGCACUUUCAAUGCUGGGGCCUGGGUUCAAUCUCCGGUCAGGGAA